UAAGUGGGAAACGAUGUGGGAAGGCCCAGACAGCCAGGAUGUUGGCUUAGAAGCAGCCAUCAUUUAAAGAAAGCGUAAUAGCUCACUGGUCGAGUCGGCCUGCGCGGAAGAUGUAACGGGGCUAAACCAUGCACCGAAGCUGCGGCAGCGACGCUUAUGCGUUGUUGGGUAGGGGAGCGUUCUGUAAGCCUGCGAAGGUGUGCUGUGAGGCAUGCUGGAGGUAUCAGAAGUGCGAAUGCUGACAUAAGUAACGAUAAAGCGGGUGAAAAGCCCGCUCGCCGGAAGACCAAGGGUUCCUGUCCAACGUUAAUCGGGGCAGGGUGAGUCGACCCCUAAGGCGAGGCCGAAAGGCGUAGUCGAUGGGAAACAGGUUAAUAUUCCUGUACUUGGUGUUACUGCGAAGGGGGGACGGAGAAGGCUAUGUUGGCCGGGCGACGGUUGUCCCGGUUUAAGCGUGUAGGCUGGUUUUCCAGGCAAAUCCGGAAAAUCAAGGCUGAGGCGUGAUGACGAGGCACUACGGUGCUGAAGCAACAAAUGCCCUGCUUCCAGGAAAAGCCUCUAAGCAUCAGGUAACAUCAAAUCGUACCCCAAACCGACACAGGUGGUCAGGUAGAGAAUACCAAGGCGCUUGAGAGAACUCGGGUGAAGGAACUAGGCAAAAUGGUGCCGUAACUUCGGGAGAAGGCACGCUGAUAUGUAGGUGAAGUCCCUCGCGGAUGGAGCUGAAAUCAGUCGAAGAUACCAGCUGGCUGCAACUGUUUAUUAAAAACACAGCACUGUGCAAACACGAAAGUGGACGUAUACGGUGUGACGCCUGCCCGGUGCCGGAAGGUUAAUUGAUGGGGUCAGCGCAAGCGAAGCUCUUGAUCGAAGCCCCGGUAAACGGCGGCCGUAACUAUAACGGUCCUAAGGUAGCGAAAUUCCUUGUCGGGUAAGUUCCGACCUGCACGAAUGGCGUAAUGAUGGCCAGGCUGUCUCCACCCGAGACUCAGUGAAAUUGAACUCGCUGUGAAGAUGCAGUGUACCCGCGGCAAGACGGAAAGACCCCGUGAACCUUUACUAUAGCUUGACACUGAACAUUGAGCCUUGAUGUGUAGGAUAGGUGGGAGGCUUUGAAGUGUGGACGCCAGUCUGCAUGGAGCCGACCUUGAAAUACCACCCUUUAAUGUUUGAUGUUCUAACGUUGACCCGUAAUCCGGGUUGCGGACAGUGUCUGGUGGGUAGUUUGACUGGGGCGGUCUCCUCCUAAAGAGUAACGGAGGAGCACGAAGGUUGGCUAAUCCUGGUCGGACAUCAGGAGGUUAGUGCAAUGGCAUAAGCCAGCUUGACUGCGAGCGUGACGGCGCGAGCAGGUGCGAAAGCAGGUCAUAGUGAUCCGGUGGUUCUGAAUGGAAGGGCCAUCGCUCAACGGAUAAAAGGUACUCCGGGGAUAACAGGCUGAUACCGCCCAAGAGUUCAUAUCGACGGCGGUGUUUGGCACCUCGAUGUCGGCUCAUCACAUCCUGGGGCUGAAGUAGGUCCCAAGGGUAUGGCUGUUCGCCAUUUAAAGUGGUACGCGAGCUGGGUUUAGAACGUCGUGAGACAGUUCGGUCCCUAUCUGCCGUGGGCGCUGGAGAACUGAGGGGGGCUGCUCCUAGUACGAGAGGACCGGAGUGGACGCAUCACUGGUGUUCGGGUUGUCAUGCCAAUGGCACUGCCCGGUAGCUAAAUGCGGAAGAGAUAAGUGCUGAAAGCAUCUAAGCACGAAACUUGCCCCGAGAUGAGUUCUCCCUGACUCCUUGAGAGUCCUGAAGGAACGUUGAAGACGACGACGUUGAUAGGCCGGGUGUGUAAGCGCAGCGAUGCGUUGAGCUAACCGGUACUAAUGAACCGUGAGGCUUAACCU
rnacentral:rRNA from 1 species